UACGUAGGUGGCUAGCGUUGUCCGGAUUUACUGGGCGUAAAGAGCGCGCAGGCGGUCGUUCAAGUCGAGUGUGAAAGCCCCGGCUCAACUGGGGAGGGUCACUCGAUACUGAUCGACUGGAAGGCAGGAGAGGGUAGUGGAAUUCCCGGUGUAGUGGUGAAAUGCGUAGAUAUCGGGAGAACACCAGUGGCGAAGGCGACUACCUGGCCUGUUCUUGACGCUGAGGCGCGAAAGCUAGG
rnacentral:rRNA from 1 species